GUCCCAGUGAGGAUUCUAUGACCAUAGGAAGUGCCGUAUGACACUUUAAACAGCAGCUGCUUUUCUCAUUUGCAAGUGUCCAUCCUUCGACCAUAACCUUUGUGGUUUGGUCUGGGAUGGAGUACCCAUUUGCAAUUGGUUAAUUCAGCUGUGUGUGUGAUUUUAAACGGGUCUCUUGAGGGAU
rnacentral:snoRNA from 10 species